UACGGAAGGCAGCAGUGGGGAAUAUUGCACAAUGGGCGCAAGCCUGAUGCAGCCAUGCCGCGUGUAUGAAAAAGGCCUUCGGGUUGUAAAGUACUUUCAGUCGUGAGGAAGGUGUUAAGGUUAAUAACCUUAGCAAUUGACGUUAGCGACAGAAGAAGCACCGGCUAACUCCGUGCCAGCAGCCGCGGUAAUACGGAGGGUGCGAGCGUUAAUCGGAAUUACUGGGCGUAAAGGGCACGCAGGCGGUUAAUUAAGUUGGAUGUGAAAUCCCCGGGCUUAACCUGGGAAUGGCAUUCAAGACUGGUUAGCUAGAGUCUUGUAGAGGGGGUAGAAUUCCAUGUGUAGCGGUGAAAUGCGUAGAGAUGUGGAGGAAUACCGGUGGCGAAGGCGGCCCCUGGACAAAGACUGACGCUCAUGUGCGAAAGCGUGGGGAGC
rnacentral:rRNA from 1 species